CCUACGGGGUGCAGCAGUGAGGAAUAUUGGUCAAUGGCCGGAAGGCUGAACCAGCCAAGCCGCGUGAAGGACGAAGGUGCCAAGCGUUGUAAACUUCUUUUGUCAGGGAACAAAAUCAGGCUCGAGAGCCUGACCGGGGGUACUUGAGGAAAAAGCAUCGGCGAAAUCCGGUCCAGGAGCCGCGGUAAUACGGAGGGAGCCAGCGUUUUCCGGGUUUAUUGGGUUUAAAGGGUGCGUAGGGGGACUUUUAAGUCAGCGGUAACAGCCCGGGGCUCAACCCCGGCGAGCCGUUGAAACUGGCUGUCUUGAGAUGUCGAGAGGUAUGCGGAAUGCGUGGUGUAGCGGUGAAAUGCUUAGAUAUUGCGCAGAACUCCGAUUGCGAAGGCAGCAUACCGGCGGCGAUCUGACGCUGAGGCACGAAAGCGCGGGUAUCGAACAGGAUUAGAUACCCCAGUAGUC
rnacentral:rRNA from 1 species